CAGUCGCCGCGGGAAUACGUAGGUGGCAAGCGUUGUCCGGAAUUAUUGGGCGUAAAGGGCUCGCAGGCGGUUCCUUAAGUCUGAUGUGAAAGCCCCCGGCUCAACCGGGGAGGGUCAUUGGAAACUGGGAAACUUGAGUGCAGAAGAGGAGAGUGGAAUUCCACGUGUAGCGGUGAAAUGCGUAGAGAUGUGGAGGAACACCAGUGGCGAAGGCGACUCUCUGGUCUGUAACUGACGCUGAGGAGCGAAAGCGUGGGGAGCGAACAGGAUUAGAUACCCGGGUAGUCCCUGUCUCUUAUAA
rnacentral:rRNA from 1 species